rnacentral:rRNA from 1 species
AUUGAACGCUGGCGGCAUGCUUUACACAUGCAAGUCGAACGGCAGCGCGGGGGCAACCCUGGCGGCGAGUGGCGAACGGGUGAGUAAUGUAUCGGAACGUAUCCUGUAAUGGGGGAUAACCAGUCGAAAGAUUGGGUAAUACCGCAUACGCACGAGAGUGGAAAGUAGGGGAUCGCAAGACCUUACGUUAUAGGAGCGGCCGAUAUCUGAUUAGCUAGUUGGUGGGGUAAAGGCCUACCAAGGCGACGAUCAGUAGCUGGUCUGAGAGGACGACCAGCCACACUGGGACUGAGACACGGCCCAGACUCCUACGGGAGGCAGCAGUGGGGAAUAUUGGACAAUGGGCGAAAGCCUGAUCCAGCAAUGCCGCGUGAGUGAUGAAGGCCUUAGGGUUGUAAAGCUCUUUUACCAGGGAUGAUAAUGACAGUACCUGGAGAAUAAGCACCGGCUAACUACGUG